rnacentral:rRNA from 1 species
AUUGAACGCUGGCGGCAGGCCUAACACAUGCAAGUCGAACGGUAACAGGAAGCAGCUUGCUGCUUCGCUGACGAGUGGCGGACGGGUGAGUAAUGUCUGGGAAACUGCCUGAUGGAGGGGGAUAACUACUGGAAACGGUAGCUAAUACCGCAUAACGUCGCAAGACCAAAGAGGGGGACCUUAGGGCCUCUUGCCAUCGGAUGUGCCCAGAUGGGAUUAGCUAGUAGGUGGGGUAACGGCUCACCUAGGCGACGAUCCCUAGCUGGUCUGAGAGGAUGACCAGCCACACUGGAACUGAGACAAGGUCCAGACUCCUACGGGAGGCAGCAGUGGGGAAUAUUGCACAAUGGGCGCAAGCCUGAUGCAGCCAUGCCGCGUGUAUGAAGAAGGCCUUCGGGUUGUAAAGUACUUUCAGCGGGGAGGAAGGGAGUAAAGUUAAUACCUUUGCUCAUUGACGUUACCCGCAGAAGAAGCACCGGCUAACUCCGUG